rnacentral:rRNA from 1 species
UAUGAAGUUGGAAUCGCUAGUAAUCGCGGAUCAGCAUGCCGCGGUGAAUACGUUCCCGGGCCUUGUACACACCGCCCGUCACACCAUGAGAGUUGGCAAUACCCAACGUACGUGAUCUAACCCGCAAGGGAGGAAGCGUCCUAAGGUAGGGUCAGCGAUUGGGGUGAAGUCGUAACAAGGUAAC